CCUACGGGAGGCAGCAGUAGGGAAUAUUGCUCAAUGGGGGAAACCCUGACGCAGCAACGCCGCGUGGAGGAUGAAGGUUUUCGGAUUGUAAACUUCUUUUGUUAGAGAAGAUCAUGACGGUAUCUAACGAAUAAGCACCGGCUAACUACGUGCCAGCAGCCGCGGUAAUAAGGCGGGUGCAAGCGUUACUCGGAAGCACUGGGCGUAAAGAGCGCGUAGGCGGGAUAGCAAGUCAGAUGUGAAAUCCUAUGGCUUAACCAUAGAACUGCAUGUGAAACUGUUAUUCUAGAGUAUGGGAGAGGUAGGUGGAAUUCGUGGUGUAGGGGUAAAAUCCGUAGAUAUCAAGAGGAAUACGCAUUGCGAAGGCGACCUGCUAGAACAUAACUGACGCUGAUGCGCGAAAGCGUGGGGAGCAAACAGGAGUAGAUACCCUUGUAGUC
rnacentral:rRNA from 1 species